rnacentral:rRNA from 1 species
UCAAGUUAUUAAGGGUGCAGGGCGGAUGCCUUGGCACUAGGAGCCGAUGAAGGACGUGAUAAGCUGCGAUAAGCUUCGGGGAGUUGCACGUAAACUUUGAUCCGAAGAUUUCCGAAUGAGGAAACUCACUUAGAGUAAUGUCUAAGUAUCGUUAAGUGAAUACAUAGCUUAGCGAGGGGAACCCGGGGAACUGAAACAUCUAAGUACCCGGAGGAAAAGAAAGAAAUUCGAUUCCGUAAGUAGCGGCGAGCGAACGCGGAACAGGCCAAACCAAUGAAGUUUACUUCGUUGGGGUUGCGGACAUACAACAUGGAUGCAAUAUCGUAAAUGAAGAGAGUUGGAAAGCUCCGCCAUAGAAGGUAAUAGCCCUGUAGUUGAAACGAGAAAGCUACUAGUAUGAUCCAGAGUACCACGGGACACGUGAAACCCUGUGGGAAGCAGGAGGGACCAUCCUCCAAGCCUAAAUACUACCUAGUGACCGAUAGCGCAUAGUACCGUGAGGGAAAGGUGAAAAGAACCCCGGGAGGGGAGUGAAAUAGAACCUGAAACCCUGCACUUACAAGCUGUGGGAGCACAUUACUUGUGUGACCGCGUACUUUUUGUAGAACGGGCCAACGAGUUACGUUAAGUAGCAAGGUUAAGCACUUAAGGUGUGGAGCCGUAGCGAAAGCGAGUCUUAAAUGGGCGAUUAAGUUACUUGGCGUAGACCCGAAACCGGGCGACCUAUCCAUGAGCAGGUUGAAGCGAAAGUAAAAUUUCGUGGAGGACCGAACCCACGAGCGUUGAAAAGCUCGGGGAUGACUUGUGGAUAGCGGUGAAAUUCCAAUCGAGCCCGGAGAUAGCUGGUUCUCCCCGAAAUAGCUUUAGGGCUAGCCUCAAGCGUAGAGAAACGGAGGUAGAGCACUGAAUGUCCUAGGGGGUAUUGCACUUACCGAAGACUAUCAAACUCCGAAUGCCGUUUUCUUUUACUUGGGAGUCAGACUGUGGGUGAUAAGAUUCAUAGUCAAAAGGGCAACAGCCCAGAUCGUCAGCUAAGGUCCCUAAAUGUACGUUAAGUGGUAAAGGAUGUGGGAUUGCACAGACAACCAGGAUGUUGGCUUAGAAGCAGCCACUCAUUUAAAGAGUGCGUAAUAGCUCACUGGUCGAGUGAUCCUGCGCCGAAAAUUUCCGGGGCUAAAACGUACUACCGAAGCUACGGCAUCAUUUAUGAUGGGUAGGGGAGCUUCGUAUGCAGGCUGAAGCAUGACCGUAAGGACAUGUGGACAGUAUACGAGUGAGAAUGUUGGCAUGAGUAGCGAGACGUGGGUGAGAAUCCCACGGGCCGUAAACCCAAGGUUUCCAGGGGAAGGUUCGUCCGCCCUGGGUUAGUCGGGACCUAAGCCGAGGCCGAAAGGCGUAGGUGAUGGACAACAGGUUGAUAUUCCUGUACCGCCAAUAAGCGUUUGAGAGAUGGAGUGACACAGUAGGAUAAGCUAACCGUACUGUUGGUUAUGUACGGCUAAGCAUUGAGGCAGUCUAAAUAGGCAAAUCCGUUUAGACAAUGCUAGGAUGUGAUGGGGAAGCCCUUCGGGGCGAAGUAGCUGAUUUCACACUGUCAAGAAAAGCUUCUAUCGAGUUUAAAGGCGCCCGUACCGUAAACCGACACAGGUGGGUGAGGAGAGUAUCCUAAGGCCAGCGAGAGAACUAUUGUUAAGGAACUCGGCAAAAUGACCCCGUAACUUAGGGAGAAGGGGUGCCUGUCUAUGACAGGCCGCAGAGAAUAGGCCCAAGCGACUGUUUACCAAAAACACAGGUUUCUGCUAAGUCGCAAGACGAUGUAUAGGAGCUGACGCCUGCCCGGUGCUGGAAGGUUAAGGGGAUCUGUUAGAGCAAUCGAAGCAGUGAACUUAAGCCCCAGUAAACGGCGGCCGUAACUAUAACGGUCCUAAGGUAGCGAAAUUCCUUGUCGGGUAAGUUCC